UUAGACGAAUAACCUGGAAAGGUUAAUCAUAGAAGGUAAUAAUCCUGUAGUCGAAAACGAAUUCUCUCUUGAGUGGAUCCUGAGUACGACGGAGCACGUGAAAUUCCGUCGGAAUCUGGGAGGACCAUCUCCUAAGGCUAAAUACUCUCUAGUGACCGAUAGUGAACCAGUACCGUGAGGGAAAGGUGAAAAGUACCCCGGAAGGGGAGUGAAAGAGAACUUGAAACCGUGUGCUUACAAGUAGUCAGAGCCCGUUAAUGGGUGAUGGCGUGCCUUUUGUAGAAUGAACCGGCGAGUUACGAUCUGAUGCAAGGUUAAGCAGAAAAUGUGGAGCCGUAGCGAAAGCGAGUCUGAAUAGGGCGAAUGAGUAUUUGGUCGUAGACCCGAAACCAGGUGAUCUACCCUUGGUCAGGUUGAAGUUCAGGUAACACUGAAUGGAGGACCGAACCGACUUACGUUGAAAAGUGAGCGGAUGAACUGAGGGUAGCGGAGAAAUUCCAAUCGAACUUGGAGAUAGCUGGUUCUCUCCGAAAUAGCUUUAGGGCUAGCCUCAAGUGAUGAUUAUUGGAGGUAGAGCACUGUUUGGACGAGGGGCCCCUCUCGGGUUACCGAAUUCAGACAAACUCCGAAUGCCAAAUAAUUUAACUUGGGAGUCAGAAUGUGGGUGAUAAGGUCCAUAUUCGAAAGGGAAACAGCCCAGACCACCAGCUAAGGUCCCAAAAUAUAUGUUAAGUGGAAAAGGAUGUGGCGUUGCCCAGACAACUAGGAUGUUGGCUUAGAAGCAGCCAUCAUUUAAAGAGUGCGUAAUAGCUCACUAGUCGAGUGACACUGCGCCGAAAAUGUACCGGGGCUAAACAUAUUACCGAAGCUGUGGAUUGUCCUUUGGACAAUGGUAGGAGAGCGUUCUAAGGGCGUUGAAGCAUGAUCGCAAGGACAUGUGGAGCGCUUAGAAGUGAGAAUGCCGGUGUGAGUAGCGAAAGACGGGUGAGAAUCCCGUCCACCGAUUGACUAAGGUUUCCAGAGGAAGGCUCGUCCGCUCUGGGUUAGUCGGGUCCUAAGCUGAGGCCGACAGGCGUAGGCGAUGGAUAACAGGUUGAUAUUCCUGUACCACCAUUAUUCGUUUUAAGCGAUGGGGGGACGCAGUAGGAUAGGCGAAGCGUGCUGUUGGAGUGCACGUCCAAGCAGUGAGAUUGAGUGUUAGGCAAAUCCGGCACUCUUAAGAUUGAGCUGUGAUGGGGAGAGGAACUUGUUCCUCGAGUCGUUGAUUUCACACUGCCGAGAAAAGCCUCUAGCUAGAAUAACGGUGCCCGUACCGCAAACCGACACAGGUAGUCAAGAUGAGAAUUCUAAGGUGAGCGAGCGAACUCUCGUUAAGGAACUCGGCAAAAUGACCCCGUAACUUCGGGAGAAGGGGUGCUCUUUGAGGUUCACGCUUCGAAGAGCCGCAGUGAAUAGGCCCAAGCGACUGUUUAUCAAAAACACAGGUCUCUGCUAAACCGUAAGGUGACGUAUAGGGGCUGACGCCUGCCCGGUGCUGGAAGGUUAAGAGGAGUGGUUAGCGCAAGCGAAGCUACGAAUCGAAGCCCCAGUAAACGGCGGCCGUAACUAUAACGGUCCUAAGGUAGCGAAAUUCCUUGUCGGGU
rnacentral:rRNA from 1 species